CUGGCAUGGCCGCCUCCGUCUUGCCUCUAGCAUCACAGGCUGGCUGUCUCCGCUCAUUCCUGGGCAUGGACGAAGCUAACCAUGAGAAGAAUUUAGUUUACAGUUUAAUUGUGAAGCAAGGAUAAUAAUAGUCGCUUCCUAAAACUGAUCCGCUCCUUGUUUGGAGACUGAAACAGUCUUUGUAAGACAAUGAAAGGUCACAAGAUUAGUAUUCUGAGAGGGGCCUGAAUUCUGCUAAAAUGUUGCUAACUUUGGAGGAAGCCAGCUGCCAUGUCACAAAAAGAUUCAGGAAGCCAUGUGGAGAGGCCCACAUCAUGAGGAACUGAGGUCUUUGCCAAUUACCAGCAAGGAAAUGAGGCCUCCUGCCAACAGCCACCAUUGUGGAUGAAUUAGGUUUUGUCAUGGGGAAAAACAUGAUCUGCAAAUUCAUCAUUUUUUGAGACUGUGAAUAUCAGCAAAACUAUCAACUUUCAGGAAAAUGGAAAGUCUCUCAGAGAUGAAGACUGAAUACAGUGGAGAGAGAACUUCUGGAUUCAAGGACAUUGAAAAUAAUAGCUACUGUCCACUUUCAGGUGAAGUUGAGCAUGGAUGAUAUGAUGUUUGUGAGCCUGAUCAUGUUGUACCCCUAUUAUAUGCUAUGCCACUGCAGCGAUCAAGCUUGUCUAAAACCACCCCUGCCUUCAUACCACUCAAGGAGAAGACAAAUAUAGUUGGUUAUUGGAAGAACCAACAGGAUUUUACAGGAUAAGUAGACAUUUCAUAGAGCUCUUGAAACCUGAAAAUGAUUGACAUUGCUGUGUGAAAGGAAAAUAUCUUGGGCCCCCAAAAUCACUAAGUUAAAGGGAAAAUUCAAGCUGGAAACUGCUUAGGGUAAACCUGCCUCCCAUUCUAUUAAAAGUCAUCCUUCUGCUCACUGAGAUAAAUGCAUGUCUAAUUGCCUCCUUUGAAAGGCUAAUCAGAAACUCAGAAGAAUGCAACCAUUUGUCUCUCACCAACCUGUGACCUGGACCCUCCCCGCUUUGAGUUGUCCCACUUUUGUUUUGAGUUGUCCCGCCUUUCCAGACUGAACCAUUGUUAUAUAUGUUGAUUGAUGUCUCCUGUCUCCCUAAAAUGUAUAAAACCAAGCUGUGCUCUGACUACUUUGAGCACAUGUUGUCAGGACCUCCUGAGGCUGUGUCACAGGCAUGCAUCCUCAACUUUGGCAAAAUAAACUUUCUAAAUUAACUGAGACCUGUCUCAAAUUUUGGGGGUUCACAUUUGGUAACCAUGGAGGGAUUCUGAGUGGAGAUGCCCCUGACUUCUGACAAAUCUCCUAUCGGUUCUUCGUACCAGCAUGAGCUAACUUUAUAGCUCAAACCAAUAGGACAAUUUGCUGAGGUCAGGGAGCAACCCUUCCAGAGAAUCCCUGAUCUCCAAAAAUUUGGUCAAGAUCUAAAGUUUAUUUUGCUGUAUACUCCUUUUGUUUUUCUUGCUUCCAACAAGGAAGGCAAGAUUUCCUGUUUCCAAGACAAUGGAAAGCAGGUAACUCCUUUAUGGAGUUUGAGCUCGCUCCCAGCUGGGAAGACGAGUUGGAGUAUUUUUCCUGCUUCUACAAUGGUAGAAAGCAGUCUUCAGCCUAAGAUCCAUCUCUGGGUAAGUAGCUGAAUUGUGGUUUUGUCUUGGCUAAAGUUCAACAACCAGCUUAUCAUUGGAGCACUCAGUGAUCAUAUUGUUGGGCUUUGUUGUUGUUGUUUGUUCCAGUCUUUCUCCCAUCAGAUUUCAUCAACUCUAUCUGACUUGGACAAAUCCAAGUGAGAAUUGCAAAUGAUGGGUAACAAGCCCUCUCUAAUUUGGCUAAAAUUCCUCAUAGCUGCAAAAUUAAACAAAGAGAGAAAACAAGAAAACCAUGUGUUUGGUUUCUGUGUUCGCUUCC
rnacentral:lncRNA from 1 species